rnacentral:rRNA from 1 species
CCUACGGGAGGCUGCAGUGAGGAAUAUUGGUCAAUGGGCGCGAGCCUGAACCAGCCAAGUAGCGUGAAGGAUGACUGCCCUACGGGUUGUAAACUUCUUUUAUAAAGGAAUAAAGUGAGGCACGUGUGCCUUUUUGUAUGUACUUUAUGAAUAAGGAUCGGCUAACUCCGUGCCAGCAGCCGCGGUAAUACGGAGGAUCCGAGCGUUAUCCGGAUUUAUUGGGUUUAAAGGGUGCGUAGGUGGAUUGUUAAGUCAGUGGUGAAAUGUUGCGGCUCAACCGGAAAAUUGCAGUUGAAACUGGCAGUCUAGAGUACAGUAGAGGUAGGCGGAAUGCAUGGUGUAGCGGUGAAAUGCUUAGAGAUCACGAAGAACACCGAUUGCGAAGGCAGCUUAC